AUUAGAUCUAGGGAAUCGACGGAUUGGAUUGUGUGACUAAAUUUUCAUCCGCGUUGCAUUAUAGAAGUUGGCGUAAUGCAGUACAGGGGUAAUUUGGCCAUUUGACAGAAGCUGAACCGCCAAAUCUUGGAAACUGCUAAUUUUACGGGAUUUCGAAUGCAACAAUUCUCCUUCUUCCAUCAGUCAUUAAUCCCACAACCCUUACAUCUACUCCCACUCUCUCCACUACGAAAACCCCAUAUUUCAACAUCCCCAGCGCCGCUUUUGGAGAUUUUUUAUUUUCUCGACCAAAUUUUCCGAGGGAAUUAGCUUUCAACGCUGAAAUCGACUCGGAAACCCCGACUAAUUUCCAAUAGAUCAAAAAUGCCGAAGAGGGGUCGUCCGCUAUCGCAAGUAACAGAGGCUGCAGAAAAACGAGUAAGAUCGGAACUCGAUGAUGCAGUCGAUGAUGUACGUAAUGCGCCACUUGGAGACGUACUUUGGAGAGAAGGAUAAAGAUUGGGAUUGCGGGCUGACCGCAAAGGGAAGCAAAAGUCUUGAAAUGUUUCGAAUCAAAUUUGCAAGGGUGCUACUGACUUCUCCCUACAAUGUCCGCGGUGCCGCAAACCAAAAAAAGGCAACCAAGUUCUGGAGAGAUAAACCUAAAAAUUUCAAUUUCGAAAAGUGGGUAGAAAAUUAUGGGUUGUAGGGCGUGAUUAUUUCUAGUAUUUGUUGGAAGAAUUUGCACUUUAUUUCCUUUUUGCAAGCUUGAAUACACUGAACAAUGUUUUUUAAAAUAACAUUUUUUGAUUUCUAUCAUGUGAACACUCUGGCGACCAUUAAUGGAUGUAUUAUGUUAUUUGCUUGUUU